UGAUCCUUAUGCAAUACAAAUCAUGUGUUUUUCAGACUGAAUGCACUCCCUUUAUUCACCUUUUCAGAGAGUAUCGGCCAGAAUACGAGCGCCUGAGAAAAACACUGAAUCCACAGGUAAAUCUUUGUCUACGGGAGAAAGCUCAAAAUAAACAAAAGAGAGAGCAGCUGGAACACUUGUGGAAGGACAUGGGCAGCGUGUGUGUGCAGGGCAGCACACUGGCAGAAUUGCCACGAGAGGAAAUACUUCAGAGGGGCUUCCCUCCAGAUAAGCCCUGAAUGUGCCAGGAGGUUUCAGCCGGGAGAAAGGAGCUGUGGAAGAAAAGCAGCCUAAAAAUAGCCAGUGGGGAUCAUCAGGUUUUCCAGGCAAGAAGAACAAGGAGAGAGAUGAGGGAAUCGGGUUCCAAUUCUAAUGAUUUGGUGGGUGCAGGAAUGAUUUGUGUGUGUUUUCAGUCCCUUUUGAUUCCUGAGAUGAUUUUAAAAUGAUGGCUUUAGCAAUCAACUAAAUCGGAGGUGUUGUUUUUGAGAGGAAAUGAUGCCAAAUAAAUGCAGAGUUUUGGGUCA